CAUGCAUGUCUAAGUAUAAGCAAUUAUACAGCGAAACUGCGAAUGGCUCAUUAUAUAAGUUAUCGUUUAUUUGAUAGUGCCUUACUACUUGGAUAACCGUGGUAAUUCUAGAGCUAAUACAUGCUAUAAGCCCCGACUUCGGAAGGGGCGUAUUUAUUAGAUUAAAAGCCAAUGCCCUCUGGGCUCACUGGUGAAUCAUGAUAACUUCACGAAUCGCACGGCCUUGCGCCGGCGAUGGCUCAUUCAAAUUUCUUCCCUAUCAACUUUCGAUGUUUGGGUAGUGGCCAAACAUGGUUGCAACGGGUAACGGAGGGUUAGGGCUCGACCCCGGAGAAGGAGCCUGAGAAACGGCUACUACAUCCAAGGAAGGCAGCAGGCGCGCAAAUUACCCAAUCCCGACUCGGGGAGGUAGUGACAAUAAAUACUGAUACAGGGCUCUUUCGGGUCUUGUAAUCGGAAUGAGUACAAUUUAAAUCUCUUAACGAGGAACAAUUGGAGGGCAAGUCUGGUGCCAGCAGCCGCGGUAAUUCCAGCUCCAAUAGCGUAUAUUAAAGUUGUUGUGGUUAAAAAGCUCGUAGUUGAACCUUGGGCCUGGCUGGCCGGUCCGCCUCACCGCGUGUACUGGUCCGGCCGGGCCUUUCCCUCUGUGGAACCUCAUGCCCUUCACUGGGUGUGCUGGGGAAACAGGACUUUUACUUUGAAAAAAUUAGAGUGCUUCAGGCAGGCCUAUGCUCGAAUACAUUAGCAUGGAAUAAUGAAAUAGGACGUGCGGUUCUAUUUUGUUGGUUUCUAGGACCGCCGUAAUGAUUAAUAGGGACAGUCGGGGGCAUCAGUAUUCAAUUGUCAGAGGUGAAAUUCUUGGAUCUAUUGAAGACUAACUACUGCGAAAGCAUUUGCCAAGGAUGUUUUCAUUAAUCAGGAACGAAAGUUAGGGGAUCGAAAACGAUCAGAUACCGUUGUAGUCUUAACCAUAAACUAUGCCGACUAGGGAUCGGACGAUGUUAUUUUUUGACUCGUUCGGCACCUUACGAGAAAUCAAAGUGCUUGGGCUCCAGGGGGAGUAUGGUCGC
rnacentral:rRNA from 1 species